rnacentral:rRNA from 1 species
UGCCAGUCAUAUGCUUGUCUCAAAGAUUAAGCCAUGCAUGUCUGAGUACAGACCGAUCUAAGGUGAAACCGCGAAUGGCUCAUUAAAUCAGUCAUAAUUCCUUGGGUAGUGAAAAACUUUCCUCGGAUAACUGUGGAAAAUCCAGAGCUAAUACGUGCAACUGAGCUCCGACCUCGGCGCGAGUCGUGGGAAGAGCGCAUUUAUUAGAUUCAAAACUGACCGGUGUACUCUUUCGGGAUAUGCCGUUUGUCAAAUGUUUGAUGACUCCGGAUAACUUAGCCGAGCGCUACGGUCUUCAGUACCGGCGCCGUAUCUUUCAAGUGUCUGCCUUAUCAGCUUUCGAUUGUAGGUUAAACGCCUACAAUGGCUGUAACGGGUAACGGGGAAUCAGGGUUCGAUUCCGGAGAGGGAGCCUGAGAAACGGCUACCACAUCUAAGGAAGGCAGCAGGCACGCAAAUUACCCACUCCUAGCCCAGGGAGGUAGUGACGAAAAAUAACGAUGCGAGACUCUUCCGAGGCCUCGCAAUCGGAAUGAGUCUAUUAUAAAUGUAUGGACGAGGAUCCAUUGGAGGGCAAGUCUGGUGCCAGCAGCCGCGGUAAUUCCAGCUCCAAUAGCGUAUAUUAAAGUUGCUGCGGUUAAAAAGCUCGUAGUUGGAUCUACUAAACCAUUUCGUGGGCGAGUCGCUCUUUGUACUAGCGUUUCGCGCGGUUCCUCGAUAUGAAAGCGGAAUUAAUAAUCGUAGAGUGGAUUUUUAUACGUGGUCAGGUUUUAGGUUUUUCUCUAUUAACGUAGGGAUCUAUCCGAAUGACCUUUCCGAAAAAAAACCCCUCCUCUGCGGUAAUGUUUUUUUCGCGCUAAUGUCUUGCGGACGGCGAAACGUUGUCAUCGGGUAUAGCUCGUCCGCGAUUGGUACAAUUAAAAUUUUGUCGGCUCGCUCGGAGUGCUCUUUACCGAGUGUUCCAGGGUGGCCGACACGUUCACUUUGAAAAAAUUAGAGUGCUUAAAGCGGGCCUAUAUUCGGGCCGGAAUGUCUGUGCAUGGAAUGAAGUAACAGGACCUCGAUUCUGUUGUUUUUGUCGGUUUUAAUGAACCGAGGUAAUGAUUAAAAGGGACAGUCGGUGGCAUUAGUAUUGCGACGCUAGAGGUGAAAUUCUUGGACCGUCGCAAGACUGACUACUGCGAAAGCAUUUGCCAAGCAUGUUUUCAUUAAUCAAGAACGAAAGUUAGAGGAUCGAAGGCGAUCAGAUACCGCCCUAGUUCUAACCCUAAACUAUGCUAACUAGCGAUCCGCCGGAGUCAUUCCCACGACCCGGCGGGAAGCCCCAGGGAAACCAAAGUCUUUGAGUUCCGGGGGAAGUAUGGUUGCAAAGCUGAAACUUAAAGGAAUUGACGGAAGGGCACCACCAGGAGUGGAGCCUGCGGCUUAAUUUGACUCAACACGGGGAACCUCACCAGGCCCGGACAUCAUAAGGAUUGACAGGUUGAGAGCUCUUUCUCGAUUUGAUGGGUGGUGGUGCAUGGCCGUUCUUAGUUGGUGGAGUGAUCUGUCUGGUUGAUUCCGAUAACGAACGAGACUCUACCUUACUAACUAGUCGGCGGAUCGUAACCCUGAGAUGGUUAGUUUGUAUAGGAGAGUGUUCGCCGAGGUGUAUCGGUUUCCUUUCGACGGACGAUUUUUUCCGGGCGUUGUUUGGAGGGGGGGGAGUGUGGUGUGUGUGUAGGGUGGUGUACGCCGUUCUACAUAUAUAUUCUCUUUCUUCUUCUUUGGACUUCGUCGUUUGGAGGGGUCGCGAGUUAUUGGGGACUUUGUGCCGAAGCUGCUUUCUGAUUACUGCUACUGCUGGGGGCGUUCGUCGCAAUAUAUCUUCUUAGAAGGAUCAGCGGUUUUUAGCCGUACGAGAUAGAGCAAUAACAGGUCUGUGAUGCCCUUAGAUGUUCUGGGCCGCACGCGCGCUACAAUGUAAGGACCAGCGUGCUUUCCCCCUCCGAAAGGAAAGGGUAACCCGUUGAAAGCCCUACCCGAUUGGGAUUGGGGAUUGCAAAUAUUUCCCAUAAACGAGGAAUUCCCAGUAAGCGCGAGUCAUCAACUAGCGCUGAUUAAGUCCCUGCCCUUUGUACACACCGCCCGUCGCUACUACCGAUUGAAUGAUUCAGUGAGGGCAUCGGACUGGCGCCUUCGGUUUUGAAACAUAGACCUUAGGCUGACGGAAAUGCAUGUCCGAACUCG